UCCUGAGCACACUAAUAUCAUUGGAAAACAGCGACAAUAAAUUGGCAAUUGACUCAAAGUGAACAUUUUAUAUACAGCAAAAAAGCGAAGGUACACUGGCGGAUCCGAGUAAAUCCGAGUGCGAUCCAACCAACGCGAUUAGAACUUUUCGGACAAAAGGCAUACAAGGCAGAGCCACCGCUUGUGGUGAGUAGACAAGAAGGCCGAACCCAUUGUGUUCGUAGCUGUGCGUGGCGGACAAGGAUCUGGACGAGUCAAAACCCCCAACCGUUUUCCACGAGAGCCACGUCUGGAGAGCUCCAGACAGCAUAUUGAGCGAGGCCUGAGAGUCGUCCGAGUAAGGCCCAGGAAAGGCCCAACAGGUAACGCGUCAUCCCCAAGGCGAGCACAAGGAGAGGCGUUGUGUGCGAGGUUGAGUACGUGUACCGUGCGUGAGCUAUGUAAGUCGAACGCAUAGCCGUAUCACCAGUGAGACUACAACUGACGUGGAAACAAGUUUGUGGUGGCCAAUAUGACUAUCCCUAAGUUACCAAUAAAGAUCAUAUAAAAAGCGCUUGAUCGUAACCAGUGAAUUACUUACUUUUAAUAUAAAUUCGUUGCAACGAGCUCUUCGCCAGAAGAGCCAGCCAACUUUUUAUGGCUGCCUUUUGGUUUGUUUUGCGUCCAAAAGCGGUUAAUUUAGAAGUUGCGAGUCGCCACGUAAGCGCUCUGCGAUCGAGGAGUUGGCGAACUCAGUGCGAGGAUUCGAGUCAAUUCUGCAAAGAACCUACUCCUACAGGCGGUGGGCAGCACGCUUUUGACCGCAGAAGCAGCAGUUUUCGUCGGGAUCGAGGCUGUCAGGAAGUCCAGACCUCUAUAAGCUCUCAGGACUCAGGACUCAAGCGACGGCUAGGAACUCACGCCUGUGCGCCUGCUGACAGGCGCGUAUCAAACUUAUCGUGCGGAUACAUACUUCAUUUCGUCCCGCCUUAAAAAAAAUCUAUACGCCACAGACAGUUUUCGCUUUUCGUUAAUCAGAGGGUCUGAUGACUUUACGUAUCAGUCUCAGGAUCCUUGAACGCUUCUGAGAAGUCACGGAAUAGCAAAGUUGCUAAGCCUACGAGAUUUUUGCCGUUCUCUGAAUGGAUACUUCGUGGACAGCCUCGUCUUGAAUACUGGAAUACUUACUGAGUGCAGGGUGUAAAAGUAGAGUCGCGUAUGAGAGCGAUUCACAGCGUUCCUCAUUGUUUUGC
rnacentral:lncRNA from 1 species